AAGCCUUUGCAGAGGCCAGCGAAUGGGCCCUGCAGCUCAGGCCCUGGUGGGCCUUGGCCUCAGCACUGGGGAUGCCACUACCCCGUCAAAACCUGUAGCUGGCUCCUUCUAGAAUGUGCUAUCAACCUGCCCUCAGCCUCUGAGCACAGUGAGGGCUGUAUGUCCCCACUGGACAGUGCAGGUGGCCUGGGGGUGUGUCAGAUGGGGAGGUUAAAGUCACACAGCCCCAGACCGCAGAAUCAGGACUGGAACCCAGACCUCACUGGCUCUGAUUUGUGUAGAAACCCCUGGAAGCCGCCUGGAGCAGGGCAAGGAGGGUUGAGCAGCUGGUUCACUGCUGCUCCUGGCCCAUGUUUUAGGUGUUGUGGGGGCAUCUUACAGAGCUCUUUUGGGAAUCCCCCUCUGCUCCCUGUGUCCCUGGGCCCUUGUCGGGUGACAAGCGGCUCCCAAGAACUCUCAGACCAAGGUCCUGGCCUUAAGUGACUCCAGAUCUCGGGGAGACACAGCCAGACACAGCCAAGCCAGUCCUGUGAGGUCAGGCUGGGGACAUCCAGGAAGGUGGCAGCCUUGGGGGCCGGGAUAGUGUUGGUGCAGGCAGGGCAAGGUUGGCCAGGCACGGGCUGCCACAGAGAUGGGCACCACAGCAGUCAGAGCACAAGUGCCGGAGCAGACGGCUGAAUGGCCACAAUGGGCUCAGGUGAGGGUCCAGGGGCCCAGAAGAGCUUGGGAUGCCCUGUCCUGAGCCUGUUAGGCUAGAGUGUCCACAAGAGCGGGACACCCCCCAGGAUCACUCAAGUCUUCAAAACCAGAUUCUGUGGGGUACCCCAAGCUGGCAUUGGGGGAACCUACCCAGGAGCGCUGAAGGAGGACUCUCCUUCCCCAGGCUGCUUUCAGACAGAGGUCCUUGGCUUUCUACAGGGAGCCCAGCCAGGCUCACAAUAAGCCAGGCCUAGCGGAGGAGAGCAGUUUUUCUUGCUCUGAGGUUUCAAAAGGGCUUGGUGAAUUUUAAAAAGCUCCAAGACCCACCUGGAGCUCACUUUCAAGGUGCAGCUACAGGGCAGCGUAGAGUUGUUGGGCUUUGUGUCUCAGGAGGAGCAUCUCUGCACUCUGGAGAAGUAUCUGGUGGCGUCAAAGCCAGGUCUCAGGAGUUGGUUUUGGGGAUGUGUCCAUCUUGGCUUCCCAAGUGCUCCCUGGGCUGCCAGGAGCCACCAUCUAGGGAAUUUUCCAGGUCUUACCUGAACCCCACAUCCAGGCUUACAGGGCUUUGAGUCCUCGGCCCAGACAGGGUCAGUCCAGCACUGCUGGUCGCCUGUGUAGCACAGGCUCCUGUCCGCCGUCUCCAGGCCCUUGCCAUAGCAACAGGGAUGGGCAUUUAUGGGCCCUGAUGGCUCUUACUGAGCUCUUCCUGCCACAUCCUGAGGAUGCUAGGGCUGCAACUGGGGUGGCCCUGUGCAGUCACAAAGCAGGGAGUCCGGAUUGGAGGAUUCUUACAUGCUGGUGCCCCCAGAGCCCCUGCGUGUCUGCAGGGGCCUCCCAUGAGAGCCAACUCAAUUGUGGAAGACAAACCGGAGGGGCUGCUGCCCUUCUCAGAACCUGAAACCUGGAACCCUAUAUGAAUCUGCAUUUCUGAUCAGCCCCUAUUGUGGGUCUAGGGCUAACGGCCAUCAGUGCUUUUUCUCUGCUUGAAAAGGUAGAAGCCCCCAAAGUUGUCCAUUGGCCAUGCCCCUGUGAGGGCAUGAGCCAGAAGUGAGGGCAGUUUGUUUUUCAGUGAUACUUCAGAGAGGGCCAUUUGAGAUGGGCUCUGAGGAGAGUAACAACAUGGUGGUGCCUGCCAUGCAGCUCGCCAGCAAGAUCCCGGACAUGUCGGUACAGCUGUGGUCGUCAGCACUGCUGAGAGACCUGAAUAAAGCCUGUGGGAACGCCAUGGAUGCCCAUGAAGCCGCCCAGAUGCACCAGAACUUCUCGCAGCAGCUGCUCCAGGACCACAUUGAGGCCUGCAGCCUCCCCGAACACAACCUCAUCACGUGGACAGACGGUCCACCCCCCGUGCAGUUCCAAGCUCAGAAUGGACCCAACACCAGCCUGGCCAGCCUCCUGUGAGGCCUUGAUGGGGCCAUCCAGCUCCGCAGAGCCUGCGCGUCUCCGGCUUCCACCCAGACGGCACUCAAGCCUGCCCCCGAGGCGUGCUUCCUUCCUGAUUGUCUCUAGAGCUUCCAAGUCCUGGGAAUGUGCGGGGCCAGUCCCUGCCCUCCCAGGAGGGGUGGUAGCCGUUCCCACCUCGCACCAGGACCCCCAGUGCAGAGGCUCACAGGUGGCACACAGGCGCUGUCUCUCCAGAGCCAUCCUUCAGAGUGGACCUCAGUGCCAGUCCUGCCUCAGCAUCUGGGUCACGUCGGCCAAGAGUAGGGUGCAGGCCUCCAGCAGGUCCUAAUCCUGUGUGCCAGGGCAGGCAGUGCCCCAGGGGCACCACGCCUGACUCUCCAUCACCCAGGCCUUGAUGCCGAGCGGGAGUAGAGUGUUUCCUCUGCUCAAGGCAAUUUCCAGAGCCCGGAUGCCAGUUUCUGGCCUGAAUUUGGAGGGAAGAAGUAAUGGCCCUAGUGUGGGACGAAGCACAGAUCCCAGCACUUUUCCCAGCUUUCUCUCCAGCAUCGGUCCCUGCAGCAGCUGGGGCCUCUGGUCAGGAACCCUCAGGGACCCAGGAACUCAGCUUCCAAACAUCUGCACCUUGACCGGACUCGCCAUCCCACUGUGGGGGUGCAGGUGAUUGUAAACACGGGUCUGCAUGUGGAUGCACACGGGUGUGCGGUGAAGAUCUGUGGAGAUGGAGCUGGGAGCUGAGGCUCCUGUUGCACCAGCCACCUUCCCCCAUCUUGUGGCUGCUGAGGGGCAGGAAGCGGGGGAGUGGGCUUGUCUCCUAAAUUUAAGAUCACCUCCUCAGCUAGCUUAGAGUGCAUGGCACGGGCCCCCCGCCCCCGAGAUCUGGAGCCCAGGGACUUUCUUCCUGGCAGAUCUGUGGCCUUCCCUGCUCAGCCUCUUGGUCCCCCCACUCCCUCCACCGCCUCACUUUCCCUGCUGGGUCUCUGGGGCACAGUGUGAAACCCGCACCCUAGCCAGGCCCCAGGGAGCCUCCGCUGGGCCCAGACAGCAGCGUUUGGUUUUAUCCACUUUUCUUGGAUAAUCAGGAGGUGCCCCAGUGGUCACAGUGUGGCAUUCCGAGUUGGCGCGGGUGGUCGGGUCAAGAUAGCAGCAGCAGGUGUCAGGGCUCAAGACACCACCCCCUCCAGCUUCUGGGGCCCAGGAGCCUCUCCCUGCUACAGGGGGUGGGGCUCCUGCUCAGCAGGGUAGGUGGUGGUUUUAGGUCUUGUCACCCUCGCUCAGUGGAACUGCCUCUGGGAGCUUUGGCGUCUGUGACUAAAGGGACGCUGGAUUGCUCAGGUCAGCUGCUCAGGGCUCCCAGGCUGGGUGUGCCUUAGCCACAGGCAGGGCUGUCAAUAACCCCCUUCCUCACUGGCCACCACCUGACAUCAGCACCAGUGACAGGCUGGUCAGAGGGCGGGGCUGGUGAGGGUUUGUCCUAAGAGGACCACUGCCAUCUCUGGGUCUCCAGGGGGAGAGCCUGGCCCUGUCCUUUGCUACCCAGGGCUGCCCCCAGGCCCAUGAAGCCAGUAGGAGAGCGUGUGGCACUGGCCCACAAAGUGUCCCUGUCCUGUCUUCCUCCCGAGCCAUGGCCUCUGCUAGCUCCACCUUGAAGGAGCCCCCCACAUCCUCCCCUACAUCCCAGAGAUGCCACCACUUGUGUCUCCACAAUGUGCUCCUGCCCAUCCGGGUUCCGCACUGUCCGACCCCUGCACACCACUCAUGUCACCAUGGCGUGCAUCAUGUUCAUCCCCAUCUAUUUAUUUAAGCCUUUCUUUGCUUGUAGGGCAUUUUGUAUGUAGAGCAGUUGAAAACAGAACCUCAGAACUUAACAUCUGUCCUGAUGUUAAAGUGCUUUUCAUGACCACCCUGUUAUCUAUGUAUAUGUAAAGUUAAGGAUGAGAUCUUAAGUUUACAAUUAAAAACUCAGUACUC
rnacentral:sRNA from 1 species